rnacentral:rRNA from 1 species
UUGAACGCUGGCGGCAUGCCUAACACAUGCAAGUCGAACGGCAGCACAGUAGAGCUUGCUCUAUGGGUGGCGAGUGGCGGACGGGUGAGUAAUGCAUCGGGAUCUACCCAAACGUGGGGGAUAACGUAGGGAAACUUACGCUAAUACCGCAUACGUCCUAUGGGAGAAAGCGGGGGAUCGCAAGACCUCGCGCGGUUGGACGAACCGAUGUGCGAUUAGCUAGUUGGUAGGGUAAUGGCCUACCAAGGCGACGAUCGCUAGCUGGUCUGAGAGGAUGAUCAGCCACACUGGAACUGAGACACGGUCCAGACUCCUACGGGAGGCAGCAGUGGGGAAUAUUGGACAAUGGGCGCAAGCCUGAUCCAGCAAUGCCGCGUGUGUGAAGAAGGCCUUCGGGUUUGUAAAGCACUUUUAUCAGGAGCGAAAUGCCAUUGGUUAAUACCCGGUGGAGCUGACGGUACCUGAGGAAUAAGCACCGGCUAACUUCGUGUCAGCAGCCGCGGUAAUACGAAGGGUGCAAGCGUUAAUCGGAAUUACUGGGCGGUAAAGCGUGCGUAGGCGGUGACUUAAGUCUGCUGUGAAAUCCCCGGGCUCAACCUGGGAAUGCAGUGGAUACUGGGUCGCUAGAGUGUGAUAGAGGAUGGUGGAAUUCCCGGUGUAGCGGUGAAAUGCGUAGAGAUCGGGAGGAACAUCAGUGGCGAAGGCGGCCAUCUGGAUCAACACUGACGCUGAGGCACGAAAGCGUGGGGAGCAAACAGGACUAGAUACCCUGGUAGUCCACGCCCUAAACGAUGCGAACUGGAUGUGGUCUAACUCGGAGUAUCAGUGUCGAAGCUAACGCGUUAAGUUCGCCGCCUGGGGAGUACGGUCGCAAGACUGAACUCAAAGGAAUUGACGGGGGCCCGCACAAGCGGUGGAGUAUGUGGUUUAAUUCGAUGCAACGCGAAGAACCUUACCUGGCCUUGACAUGUCUGGAAUCCUGCAGAGAUGCGGGAGUGCCUUCGGGAAUCAGAACACAGGUGCUGCAUGGCUGUUCGUCAGCUCGUGUCGUGAGAUGUUGGGUUAAGUCCCGCAACGAGCGCAACCCUUGUCCUUAGUUGCCAGCACGUAAUGGUGGGAACUCUAAGGAGACUGCCGGUGACAAACCGGAGGAAGGUGGGGAUGACGUCAAGUCAUCAUGGCCCUUACGGCCAGGCUACACACGUACUACAAUGGUCGGUACAGAGGGUUGCAAUACCGCGAGGUGGAGCCAAUCCCAGAAAGCCGAUUCCCAGUCCGGAUCGAAGUCUGCAACUCGACUUCGUGAAGUCGAGAAUCGCUAGUAAUCGCAGAUCAGCUAUGCUGCGGUGAAUACGUUCCCGGGCCUUGUACACACCGCCCGUCACACCAUGGGAGUGAGUUUGCUCCAGAAGCCGUUAGUCUAACCGCAAGGGGGACGACGACCACGGAGUGGUUCAUGACUGGGGUG